GGCGGUCAAUUUGUCGGAAGUUUUAUACAGGGAUUACGAGAAACAUUUAAAUCUGGUUUUCCCGAUAAUGUUUCCACAUAUUCAGUAGUUUCCGGUAUAUUUUCAUCAGCAACUGCAAUGGGAUCGGCAAUCGGUCCGGGAAUUGGCGGUUAUAUGUUGGGACA